rnacentral:rRNA from 1 species
AGGGUUUGAUCAUGGCUCAGAAUCAACGCUGGCGGCGUGCCUCAGACAUGCAAGUCGAACGAUUAAAGCUCUCUUCGGAGAGUGUAUAGAGUGGCGCACGGGUGAGUAACACGUAAGUAAUCUACCUUCGAGUGGGGAAUAACCCGGGGAAACCCGAGCUAAUACCGCAUAAUGCAGCGGCACCUAAUGGUGACAGUUGUUAAAGAUUUAUCGCUUGAAGAGGAGCUUGCGGCAGAUUAGCUAGUUGGUAAGGUAAUGGCUUACCAAGGCUACGAUCUGUAACCGGUCUAAGAGGACGGUCGGUCACACUGACACUGAAUAACGGGUCAGACUCCUACGGGAGGCAGCAGUCGGGAAUUUUGGGCAAUGGGCGAAAGCCUGACCCAGCAACGCCGCGUGAAGGAUGAAGUAUUUCGGUAUGUAAACUUCGAAAGAAUGGGAAGAAUAAAUGACGGUACCAUUUAUAAGGUCCGGCUAACUACGUGCCAGCAGCCGCGGUAAUACGUAGGGACCAAGCGUUGUUCGGAUUUACUGGGCGUAAAGGGCGCGUAGGCGGCCCCACAAGUCACUUGUGAAAUCUCCGGGCUUAACUCGGAACGGCCAAGUGAAACUGUGGAGCUAGAGUGUGGAAGGGGCAAUCGGAAUUCUUGGUGUAGCGGUGAAAUGCGUAGAUAUCAAGAGGAACACCUGAGGUGAAGACGGGUUGCUGGGCCAACACUGACGCUGAGGCGCGAAAGCCAGGGGAGCAAACGGGAUUAGAUACCCCGGUAGUCCUGGCCCUAAACGAUGAAUACUUGGUGUCUGGAGUCAUUAAUGCUCCGGGUGCCGUCGCUAACGUUUUUAGUAUUCCGCCUGGGGAGUACGCUCG